CGCCCCGCAAGGGGAGUGGCAGACGGGUGAGUAACGCGUGGGAACGUGCCCUAAGGUACGGAACAACUCCGGGAAACUGGAGCUAAUACCGUAUGUGCCCGAGAGAGGAAAGAUUUAUCGCCUUGGGAUCGGCCCGCGUCUGAUUAGCUAGUUGGUAGGGUAACGGCCUACCAAGGCUACGAUCAGUAGCUGGUCUGAGAGGAUGACCAGCCACACUGGGACUGAGACACGGCCCAG
rnacentral:rRNA from 1 species